CGGUGGAUAUGCAAGUGGUUAAAGCGGGCGAACUGUAAAUUCGUUUCUAAUGAUUCGCAGGUUCGAAUCCUGUUCCACCGA
rnacentral:tRNA from 1 species